rnacentral:rRNA from 1 species
UACGUAGGGGGCAAGCGUUAUCCGGAAUCAUUGGGCGUAAAGCGCGUGUAGGCGGUUCCGUAAGUCCGCUCUGAAAGCCCAGGGCUCAACCCUGGGAGGCGGGUGGAUACUACGGAACUGGAGUACGGAAGAGGAGAUUGGAAUUCCUGGUGUAGCGGUGAAAUGCGCAGAUAUCAGGAGGAACACCAACAGCGAAGGCAGAUCUCUGGGACGUUACUGACGCUGAGACGCGAAAGCUAGGGGAGCAAACAGG